rnacentral:rRNA from 1 species
AUGGAGACGAAGAAUGCGACAGGGGGGCGGGGCAGAAGCAUCACCGAGUGCACGAGCUUUGCCACGAUGGAACGCAGCUUGCUGCAGCUGGAGGCGGCUGUCCUCGUUAGCGGGCUCGUCCUCGCCGUGAUGGUGCUGAACGGCAUCACCCGCAGGCCGGACAGCGACAGGCUGCUCCGCAGCGUCAUAUGGGGAGCGUACUCGCUGUCGUACGGGAUGGUCGCCUAUGCCGUCGGCCUCGUCCAGGAGAGAAGCUUCUUCCAUAGCGAAACAUUCAGUCUAUGGGUCACCGCGCUGCUCCUGCUCCAGGCGCCCAGCCGUGACAUGGACCAGCUCAAGGCGCGGCUGCUCCACCACGUCCUUCAGACCGGCCUCGUGCUCUGGCUUGUCGUCAACAGCUUGGGCCACAACGCCAGCUACCGGGCGGCCACCUGGGCGUUCUGGAGCCUCAACGUGCUCAAGACGGCCGUCAAGAUCGUCGAGGUGUUCAAGGCGCGUCCCCUCCGUCCAUCUGCCGAGGUGGUUGCCGAGUACAUGGGCGUCGAGGAGGUCCUCGCCGGCGACCAGAUGCCGACCGAUCCAAGGAACAUGACGGGCUACAAGUAUCUCUUCCACGGUGAGGAAACCAUCCAGCUGAUGAGCGGCAGCCACGACGAGAUACUAACGAUGAUGAGCUCCACCUCCGCCAAGGAGGUCAUCACAAUCGAUCAAGUUUACGGGUGGAUCGAUGCACAGGGAUACAGCGAAGUCGAGAAAGACAUGGCCAAGGACGUCUGCCUGGCGUUCUCGCUGUUCAAGCUGCUGAAGCGGCGGUUCUACGGGUACAAUCCGGCGGAGGCCCGCUCGCGCAAGUCACUGGACCUCGUCUUGACCGGCCUCAUCCAUCAGGCCGUCACCGGCCCCGAUGCCGCCUUCCGGGUCGUCGAGGCAGAGCUCACCUUCCUCUACGACUUCUUCUACACCAGGAACAUCCUUCUGACGGGAGCCAGGACCCACAUAUUUACUGCCGUCGUUGUGCUAGGCCUGAGCAUGUGGGCGACGUUCUUCGGCACGCUCGGCCGCGGCUACAGCCGUAUGAUCAUCGGCGUAAGAAACCUCGACCGCGCCGUCACGGUGGUGAUCGUCGUGAUCAUCGCUGCCCUCGAGCUGUGUCAGGCAGUGGCCCGUUUGUACGACAACUGGAGGUACAUUGAGACUGUGUACCGUUGCGUACGCGACAAUCGGCCCUGGUCGAAACGUCCACGGCGCCAACUCUGGUGGAAGGAGAGCAUUACGCCGCCGGAGACAAUGUACUGGGACUGGGAGCAGAUGACCGGCCAGUAUGUGCUCCUUCAAUGGUACGACCACCGGCCGUGGAAUGUUCUGUCGUGGCUAACACUCGAGAUCGUGAAACCACGGAGGCGGGGCCAGAAGAGAGACCGAAGACAGGCUCUGCCUCGGCAGGUCAGGCAAGCCGUGCUCGUCUCGCUCAAGGCCAGCCGCGGCGAGCUCACCAAUGGCCUGUCGCAGCAACUGACAUGGGCGUGCAUGUUACCCAAGGUCACCGACCAGAUCCUGCUCUGGCACGUGGCCACCACCCGCUUCGACUGGACUAGUGGUGGUGAUGCUACCGAUGACGUUGUCGACAACCACAGGCUCGUGGCGACGAAGUUGUCCAACUACUGCGCCUACUUGGUGGCCUUCGUGCCGGAGAUGCUGCCAGACCCGAGCUACAACGCCGAUAAGAUGUUCGACAUGGCGGUGAAGCAGGCGCGAAAUCAUCUCGUUGGCUGCCGGACCAUGCCGGACAUACUUGCCAAACUAGAUGAGAUACAGAGCAAGGAGGAGAGUUACCUGGAGGGCGGCAGCCUAUACGGCAGAGCCGGCAGCAGCAGCAUCAUAGAGAAGGCCGCAAUGCUUGGCGGGCAGCUCAUGGUGUCCGUGCCCGACCAAGGACGGCGAUGGAAGGUGCUGGCCGACUUCUGGGCCGAGUUCAUACUGUUCCUCGCGCCGUCGGACAACAUGGACAUCCACACCGAGAUGCUCGGUGCCGGCGGCGAGUUCAUGACGCAGCUGUGGGCGCUGCUCAACAAUGCUGGCAUCCUGGAGCGUCCGGCCGUUGCCACGUCGUCGGCACCUUCGACCUGA